UACGAAGGGGGCUAGCGUUGCUCGGAAUUACUGGGCGUAAAGGGCGCGUAGGCGGCCUGCUAAGUCGAACGUGAAAUCCCCGAGCUCAACUCGGGAACUGCGUCCGAUACUGACAGGCUUGAAUCCGGGAGAGGGAUGCGGAAUUCCAGGUGUAGCGGUGAAAUGCGUAGAUAUCUGGAGGAACACCGGUGGCGAAGGCGGCAUCCUGGACCGGCAUUGACGCUGAGGCGCGAAAGCUAGGGGAGCAAACGGG
rnacentral:rRNA from 1 species